GACGAACGCUGGCGGCGUGCUUAACACAUGCAAGUCGAACGAUGAACCGGAGCUUGCUCUGGGGAUUAGUGGCGAACGGGUGAGUAACACGUGGGCAACCUGCCCCAGACACCGGGAUAACCAUUCGAAAGGAUGGCUAAUAUCGGAUACGACCACUUCGGGCAUCCGAUGGUGGUGGAAAGGAUUCUGGUCUGGGAUGGGCCCGCGGCCUAUCAGCUUGUUGGUGGGGUAAUGGCCUACCAAGGCGACGACGGGUAGCCGGCCUGAGAGGGCGACCGGCCACACUGGGACUGAGACACGGCCCAGACUCCUACGGGAGGCAGCAGUGGGGAAUAUUGCACAAUGGGCGAAAGCCUGACGCAGCGACGCCGCGUGAGGGACGAAGGUCUUCGGAUUGUAAACCUCUUUCAGCAGGGAUGAAGCGAAAGUGACAGUACCUGCAGAAGAAGCACCGGCUAACUACGUGCCAGCCGCCGCGGUAAAAC
rnacentral:rRNA from 1 species